UUGAACGCUGGCGGCAGGCCUAACACAUGCAAGUCGAACGGUAGCACAGAGAGCUUGCUCUCGGGUGACGAGUGGCGGACGGGUGAGUAAUGUCUGGGAAACUGCCCGAUGGAGGGGGAUAACUACUGGAAACGGUGGCUAAUACCGCAUAAUGUCGCAAGACCAAAGAGGGGGACCUUCGGGCCUCUUGCCAUCGGAUGUGCCCAGAUGGGAUUAGCUUGUUGGUGAGGUAAUGGCUCACCAAGGCGACGAUCCCUAGCUGGUCUGAGAGGAUGACCAGCCACACUGGAACGGAGACACGGUCCAGACUCCUACGGGAGGCAGCAGUGGGGAAUAUUGCACAAUGGGCGCAAGCCUGAUGCAGCCAUGCCGCGUGUGUGAAGAAGGCCUUCGGGUUGUAAAGCACUUUCAGCGGGGAGGAAGGCAAUGCGGUUAAUAACCGUGUUGAUUGACGUUACCCGCAGAAGAAGCACCGGCUAACUCCGUG
rnacentral:rRNA from 1 species